UUCUGUGUAAAGCGGGCAGGGGCUGGGUGGUUUCGGAAGGAAAUGACCUGGAGCGGAGAAUACAGCCUGCGCUACGCGGGACAAACGUAAACACGGGGGGAAGUGUGAGUCAAGCCAGUGAUAGGAAAGCGAUGGGAUUCUCGACCAGAUUCGUGAACUCGCUUUUUCCUGAUUCAUACAAGAUUUCAAGAAGGGAAUGCAUCUACUGGAUACCCAUCAACAUCAAUAAAGUGAUAAAGGGAAA